GGGUGAAAGCCUGACGCGGCAACGCCGCGUGGGGGAAGAAGGUCUUCGGGUUGUAAACCCCUUUUCUCGGGGAAGAUAGUGACGGUACCCGAGGAAUAAGUCUCGGCUAACUACGUGCCAGCAGCCGCGGUAAUACGUAGGAGGCAAGCGUUAUCCGGAUUUACUGGGCGUAAAGAGGGCGUAGGCGGCUUUUCAAGUCGGAUGUAAAAUCUCCCGGCUUAACUGGGAGGGAUCAUCCGAUACUGUUAGGCUAGAGGACAGCAGAGGGAGGUGGAAUUCCCGGUGUAGUGGUGAAAUGCAUAGAUAUCGGGAGGAACACCAGUGGCGAAGGCGGCCUCCUGNGCUGUUUCUGACGCUGAGGCCCGAAAGCGUGGGGAGCGAACAGAAUUAGAUACUCUGGUAGUCCACGCCGUAAACGAUGGACACUANGUAUGGGGAGUAUCGACCCUCUCCGUGCCGAAGCUAACGCAUUAAGUGUCCCGCCUGGGGAGUACGGUUGCAAGACUAAAACUCAAAGGAAUUGACGGGGGCCCGCACAAGCAGCGGAGCGUGUGGUUUAAUUCGAUGCAACGCGAAGAACCUUACCAAGGCUUGACAUGUUGGAAGUAGCAACCCGAAAGGGAAGCCACCUGUUGAGUCAGGAGCCAACACAGGUGCUGCAUGGCUGUCGUCAGCUCGUGCCGUGAGGUGUUGGGUUAAGUCCCGCAACGAGCGCAACCCUCGUUGCCAGUUAUUUUCUCUGGCGAGACUGCCCCGCAAGACGGGGAGGAAGGGGAGGAUGACGUCAAGUCAGCAUGGCCCUUAUGCCUUGGGCUACACACACGCUACAAUGGGUGGUACAGAGGGCAGCAACGGAGCAAUCCAGAGCCAAUCCCACAAAGCCAUCCUCAGUUCGGAUUGCAGGCUGAAACUCGCCUGCAUGAAGUUGGAGUUGCUAGUAACUGCAGGUCAGCAUACUGCGGUGAAUACGUUCUCGGGCCUUGUACACACCGCCCGUCACGUCAUGAAAGUUGGCAACACCUGAAGUCGAUGGGCUAACCCCGACUUUGUCGGGGAGGCAGUCGCCUAGGGUGGGGUUGAUGAUUGGGACGAAGUCGUAACAAGGUAACCUUAAUUAAAA
rnacentral:rRNA from 1 species